AGUCACUUCUGAGCUGCCGCAGCCAUUGUCGGAGUUCUUAGCUGCCGCCACUGCCAUUGGUAAAGAGUAUUCUUGCUUUCGGUUCCCAUCCUUUCAAUUUCUAGGGAUAUGGUUAUCACUGCAAUGUUAUUGCAGCUGCCACUGAGGUUUUCCACCAUCACUGGAGCCGCUGUGGGGACAGUUUGGAAUUGCUGCCAUUGCUUCGUCUCCAUGUUUCUCCUUUGUUAAGUUCGAGUUCCAGUUGUUGUGUGUCGCGCUUAGAGUUGCGGUUGCUGCUACGGAUAGUGGAUAAAGAUGAAAUUACGGCUGCUGCUGUCGCUGGCCGAG